GUUAGGAAUAUUGGACAAUGGGCGCAAGCCUGAUCCAGCCAUGCCGCGUGAGUGAUGAAGGCCUUCGGGUUGUAAAGCUCUUUAGUCCACGAAUAUAAUGACUGUAGUGGAAGAAUAAGCCCCGGCUAACUUCGUGCCAGCAGCCGCGGUAAUACGAAGGGGGCGAGCGUUAUUCGGAAUCACUGGGCGUAAAGCGUGCGUAGGCUGUUUUGUAAGUCAGAAGUGAAAGCCCAGGGCUUAACCCUGGAAUUGCUUUUGAAACUACAAGACUCGAAUUCGGGAGAGGAUAGCGGAAUUGUCAGUGUAGCAGUGAAAUGAGUAGAUAUUGACAGGAACACCAGUGGCGCAAGCGGCUAUCUGGACCGAUAUUGACGCUGAGGCACGAAAGCGUGGGGAGCAAACAGGAUUAGAUACCCUUGUAGUCC
rnacentral:rRNA from 1 species